UGCAAGGUUAAGCGGAAAAAGCGGAGCCGUAGCGAAAGCGAGUCUGAAUAGGGCGCAUAAGUAACAGGUCGUAGACCCGAAACCAGGUGAUCUACCCAUGUCCAGGAUGAAGGUAAGGUAAUACUUACUGGAGGUCCGAACCCACGCACGUUGAAAAGUGCGGGGAUGAGGUGUGGGUAGCGGAGAAAUUCCAAUCGAACUUGGAGAUAGCUGGUUCUCUCCGAAAUAGCUUUAGGGCUAGCCUCGAGGUAAAGAGUCAUGGAGGUAGAGCACUGUUUGGACUAGGGGCCCUUCUCGGGUUACCGAAUUCAGAUAAACUCCGAAUGCCAUGUACUUAUACUCGGGAGUCAGACUGCGAGUGAUAAGAUCCGUAGUCGAAAGGGAAACAGCCCAGACCACCAGUUAAGGUCCCCAAAUAUAUGUUAAGUGGAAAAGGAUGUGGGGUUGCUUAGACAACCAGGAUGUUGGCUUAGAAGCAGCCACCAUUGAAAGAGUGCGUAAUAGCUCACUGGUCGAGUGACCCCGCGCCGAAAAUGUACCGGGGCUAAACAUAUUACCGAAACUGUGGAUGAACCUCUUUAGAGGUUCGUGGUAGGAGAGCGUUCUAAGGGCGGUGAAGUCAGACCGGAAGGACUGGUGGAGCGCUUAGAAGUGAGAAUGCCGGUAUGAGUAGCGAAAGAAGGGUGAGAAUCCCUUCCACCGAAUAUCUAAGGUUUCCUGAGGAAGGCUCGUCCGCUCAGGGUUAGUCGGGACCUAAGCCGAGGCCGAUAGGCGUAGGCGAUGGACAACAGGUAGAGAUUCCUGUACCAGUGCUAAUUGUUUAACCGAUGGGGUGACACAGAAGGAUAGGGAAUCGCACGAAUGGAAAUGUGCGUCCAAGCAGUGAGUGUGAGAAGUAGGCAAAUCCGCUUCUCGCGAAGCAUGAGCUGUGAUGGGGAAGGAAAUUAAGUACGGAAGUUCCUGAUUUCACGCUGUCAAGAAAAGCCUCUAGGAAGAGUAGUACUGCCCGUACCGCAAACCGACACAGGUAGAUGAGGAGAGAAUCCUAAGGUGAGCGAGAGAACUCUCGUUAAGGAACUCGGCAAAAUGACCCCGUAACUUCGGGAGAAGGGGUGCUCUAUUAGGGUGCAAGCCCGAGAGAGCCGCAGUGAAUAGGCCCAGGCGACUGUUUAGCAAAAACACAGGUCUCUGCAAAACCGUAAGGUGACGUAUAGGGGCUGACGCCUGCCCGGUGCUGGAAGGUUAAGAGGAGUGCUUAGCUUCGGCGAAGGUACGAAUUGAAGCCCCAGUAAACGGCGGCCGUAACUAUAACGGUCCUAAGGUAGCGAAAUUCCUUGUCGGGUAAGUUCCGACCCGCACGAAAGGCGCAACGAUCUGGGCACUGUCUCAACGAGAGACUCGGUGAAAUUAUAGUACCUGUGAAGAUGCAGGUUACCCGCGACAGGACGGAAAGACCCCGUGGAGCUUUACUGCAACCUGAUAUGGAAUGUUUGUACCGCUUGUACAGGAUAGGUAGGAGCCGAAGAGACGUGUGCGCUAGCAUACGAGGAGGCAAUGGUGGGAUACUACCCUGGCUGUAUGACCAUUCUAACCCGCCACGCUUAGCGCGUGGGGAGACAGUGUCAGGUGGGCAGUUUGACUGGGGCGGUCGCCUCCUAAAGAGUAACGGAGGCGCCCAAAGGUUCCCUCAGAAUGGAUGGAAAUCAUUCGCAGAGUGUAAAGGCACAAGGGAGCUUGACUGCGAGACUGACAAGUCGAGCAGGGACGAAAGUCGGGCUUAGUGAUCCGGUGGUUCCGCAUGGAAGGGCCAUCGCUCAACGGAUAAAAGCUACCCCGGGGAUAACAGGCUUAUCUCCCCCAAGAGUCCACAUCGACGGGGAGGUUUGGCACCUCGAUGUCGGCUCGUCGCAUCCUGGGGCUGUAGUCGGUCCCAAGGGUUGGGCUGUUCGCCCAUUAAAGCGGCACGCGAGCUGGGUUCAGAACGUCGUGAGACAGUUCGGUCCCUAUCCGUCGCGGGCGCAGGAAAUUUGAGAGGAGCUGUCCUUAGUACGAGAGGACCGGGAUGGACACACCGCUGGUGUACCAGUUGUUCCGCCAGGAGCAUCGCUGGGUAGCUAUGUGUGGCAGGGAUAAACGCUGAAAGCAUCUAAGCGUGAAGCCCCCCUCAAGAUGAGAUUUCCCAUUUCUUCGGAAAGUAAGAUCCCUGAAAGAUGAUCAGGUAGAUAGGUUUGGAGUGGAAGUGUAGCGAUACAUGGAGCGGACAAAUACUAAUCGAUCGAGGACUUAACCAAAA
rnacentral:rRNA from 1 species